GCCUUUUCAUACCAAUGCAGAUAUUACUUAGAAACAUGGCAAGAAAUGAAUAAAGCACUUUAAAGUAUUGCAAACAAAAAAGUUAUACACAUCCAAUUUUAUUAACAUUCACUUAUAAAUUAUCUGCCCUUGUCAUAUAUUGGAAUCGUGUUUUUUAGGCAAAUAUAACAAUCCUCUACUGCAGGAGAGAAAGUCUUCUUGGUGAUAUGAGAAAUACUGGUGUGAUAAUUUCAUAAAUUAUUCAAGUCUGUGGAAACACUCCAGUUCAGAGAAGGGUACCUGGAUUUGUUUUCAGCUUUCUCGAUUUUCACAUGCACGUUAGGCUAUCUGGUUUUGAUAGUGCGUGUUUUCUUCUAUUAAGUGAGAUAGCUUUCUCAAUAAUUAUAUCAGAAACAGCAGCAGUGAGUGACUAGAGGGCCUCUACUGGCCUCAGGCAUUUUCUAAAAACCGGAAUUAGCUGUCAAAUUUUGAGAAUACAGAGCUUCCCACGGCCUCCCCCAUCCCUGCAUUUGGUGUGCACCUCACAAUUUCAUGCAAUUUAGUGACUUGCCAAGCUCCUGCAGGCAUCUGUGUUUGUGCUGAAGAUGUCUGUCUCCUCUGCGGUGCACCGUGUCGUGUAUCACAGCAUAUUGGAAUGGGUCUGUAGGUAGGAAUAGCUGAUUUGUUAUUCAGGAUGGCUUUAACAGCCGCUGGAAGGAACACACCAUCUUAUGGUAGUUGCUCUUCCACACAGCUUUGUUCUCUGCAUGGGUGAGGGGUAUCUCUGGGGUCCAUCAACUAUUACAUCAUGAUGCCUGUGCAAUAUUUACUUGCUUACGUCCAAUCUACUGGGUCCCUGAAGAAUAAGCUUUUUUCUUCUUCUUAGCUAAUAUUUACCCCUCCUUUUCUCUAAUGAUAGAGUACUGGGAAGCAGAAAUCCCUAUCUCCACCUUCUCUCACCAACUCCCCAGCCUCCCCACUCAUUCUCAGUCCUGGGGACUGGGGGCUAGUGGCUGAGUGUGGGCUAUACUGCCUUGCUGUUUGCAAUGAAACAAUUGUAAAAUAAAGAGAGCAGCCAAAACAGGGAGUUAUGAGCUGAGAAUAUGGGAAUAAGCACACAAUUAGUUCUGACGAAAGAAAUAUCUUCCUGAUGUUAUUAACAAUCUACUAGAAAUUGUGUCCUCUUUACCAACAGAAAAAUAUUGAUGUGCAAGAAAAUAAGCUUAUUUCUAACUUAAUUUUUUAAGGGGUAGAAAAUAUGAUAAAUUUUGCAUACAUACAAUUUAUUUAUUUAUAUUAUAGCCCUGUAUGAUACAAGCAUUUUCUCAUCUAAAAGUGUUAUUUUAACUCAGAAAACAUACUGGCAUUAAGCUCUUGAGCCUCAGAAUGGAGCACAGAGGGAACAAAACCCUUUUGAAAUUAAAAAUAUUAUUCAGCAGAAACUGAUACUUUUGAACCAAUAUGAAUUUGAAAUAACUAAAUAUUUUUUCAAAAUCUCCCUUAACAUCAAAGUUCAAGAUGAUUGCAUUUAUUUUGAUGUCACUAUAUAAAUACAAGGAUGUUAACUGAUACUCACCUAAGUCAAAUAUUCCAGUUGCAUUAACAAACAUACACAUAACAAAUAUAAAUUUAUAUCAAAUGUCAAAUUUCCCCAUUAUCUUCUCCUCUUCUUCAUUAGGAAUUUGAUGUUCUGAAAAGUGCCUUUUUUGUCUGCUUCGAUUUUUUGUUGCUGUUUUUUUUUUUUUUGCUUUAUAAUUUCUAAGCAUUUAGGCAGAAAAGAAAGAGGCAUUAAAAAUACAACUCAGAAAUAUUUAAAUUUUGAUGAAAUAAGAGUCUUGUUAGUUGCAGUCUCUUUUGAAUACUUUCCUUGGGAGAAAAUAUGCUGUGAAACAGUGAUCUGCCACUACAAAGUGGUUGGGGACAUUAGGUCAUUUCUAGAAAGCAAUUAUAUACACCUAAUGGCUUAUUCCCUACAAAAUGAACUAUUAUGGUGUCAGAAAAGGCUAGAUACUUUAUCAUCUGAAAGACAGGUUGCUCAGAUGUAUACAAAUGAAUUUAUUCUCUUGACCUCUAGUUCAGAUGUCAGAAAUAUUUUGUACUAAAACAGAGAUAGGUUCCUAUAUUGGAAUAUGUUCAAUAUUUACUACCUUUCUCUUCUAUUCUCUAUCCAUAAAACUCUGCCUGAUUAAAAUAUUUUAAAGUGUACUUUUUACCUGAUACUGUUAAUAGCAUUGAUGAUCCUGGAUUUUAAAGAUGGCUGCUUUAGUCUACUUUGAUUUUGGGAAAGCCAUUUUAAACAAACAAAUAUGUGGUAUCAUUUAAAGUUUUAUAAAGAAUUAAGAGUAACUGAAUGACAGCUGAAUUUCU
rnacentral:lncRNA from 10 species